rnacentral:rRNA from 1 species
GCGUGUGCGAAGAAGGUCUUCGGAUCGUAUAGCACUGUUGCCAGGCAAGAAAAGCCUUUACAGGGAAUGCUAGAGGAUUGACGGUACCUGAGAAGAAAGCCCCGGCUAACUACGUGCCAGCAGCCGCGGUAAUACGUAGGGGGCAAGCGUUGUCCGGAAUUAUUGGGCGUAAAGCGCGCGCAGGCGGCUUCGUUAAGUCUGGUGUGAAAGGCAAUGGCUCAACCAUUGUAAGCAUUGGAAACUGACAGACUGGAGUGCAGCAGAGGAAAGUGGAAUUCCACGUGUAGCGGUGAAAUGCGUAUAGAUGUGGAGGAGCACCAGUGGCGAAGGCGACUUUCUGGGCUGUAACUGACGCUGAGGCGCGAAAGCGUGGGGAGCAAACGGGAUUAGAUACCCUGGUAGUCCACGCCGUGAACGAUGAGUGCUAGGUGUAGGGGGGUUACGACCCCUCGGUGCCGAAGUUAACACAUUAAGCACUCCGCCUGAGGAGUACGCUCGUAAGAGUGAAACUCAAGACGGAAUUGACGGGGAACCGCACAAGCAGUGGAGUAUGUGGUUUAAUGCGAAGCAACGCGAAGAAUCUUAUCAGGU